UGUGCUGGUAUUUUUCUUUUCCUUCCACCUUCUCCCCAUUUUCCCUUUUUGUGCUUUUGGCUUUUGUGUGAUUAAUCAAUGUCAUUUAGGUAAUAUUGGUGAAUAAUCAUUGUGAUUUUAUCUGUUAUUUCAUAUCUUACAAGGAAUUUUUCUGCUGCUUGAGUUACAUGCUUGUUUGUCUGACAUAGCCAAAAGGCAAAAGUGGCUUAUCCUUCUCACAGGAUUUGGCAAAAUAAAAUUUCCUCUAUAAGUUCAUUUCUGG
rnacentral:misc_RNA from 1 species